rnacentral:rRNA from 1 species
AGCGAACGCUGGCGGCAGGCCUAACACAUGCAAGUCGAACGAACUCUUCGGAGUUAGUGGCGGACGGGUGAGUAACACGUGGGAACGUGCCUUUAGGUUCGGAAUAACUCAGGGAAACUUGUGCUAAUACCGAAUGUGCCCUUCGGGGGAAAGAUUUAUCGCCUUUAGAGCGGCCCGCGUCCGAUUAGCUUGUUGGUGGGGUAAUGGCCCACCAAGGCGACGAUCAGUAGCUGGGCUGAGAGGAUGACCAGCCACAUUGGGACUGAGACACGGCCCAAACGCCUACGGGAGGCAGCAGUGGGGAAUCUUGCGCAAUGGGCGAAAGCCUGACGCAGCCAUGCCGCGUGGAUGAUGAAGGUCUUAGGAUUGUAAAAUCCUUUCACCGGUGAAGAUAAUGACUGUAGCCGGAGAAGAAGCCCCGGCUAACUUCGUGCCAGCCGCCGCGGUAA